AUUGCAGGCAUCGAACAUACUCACAUUUUUCUUGCAGAUCCCACAUUUUUCUUUUUCUUGUUUUCAAUGGUUGGCGAUGAACUCUCGCAGUCUCACUCGUGGUUUCUACUCCUGAUUCAGUUAUUCUUGUGUGUUUAUUAUGCCGUAGUUGUCGAGACAUAAAGUUCCUCCUGAUUCAGUUAGUUGGUCCCGAUUUAAUCAUUUGAACAAGUUCCUCCAUCUCAACAAGUAACUUAGCUGGAUACAUUUUGCACUCCAAUCAAGAGCUUACCACAAUCUCAGUUGGAUACAUUUUUCUACUUUAAGUAACUUUGCGAUCUCAGUACAUAUUUUGCAUACUUGUAUUACAGUUUGUUUAUCUACUGCAGGUAGAGUGCAGAGUAGCUUCUUAAUCUUGCAGUUCCCUUGCUAGUCAUGAAUGUUCAUUGCUUUGGCGAGGGAACUUCUGUAGUCGAACAUGUUUAUGUACUCCAGUCUUGUUCUGCAUGCUUAAGCAGUCAAACAUGUUUAGAUAUUCCAGUAGGAGUACUUGUAUCUCUGCAUAUACUCCAGUCUUGUUCAGUAGGAGCACUUGUAUCUCUACAUAUACUCCAGUCUUGUUCUGAAUUUGUUCACUUGCUUACCAGUCUUGUUAACUGAAAAGAAAAAAGGGGCCAAACAAGUUAACUUGUUUUGUUAAUUGCUUGAAACUCACUGUGCAAAUUGGUCCUCUCCUCUCUCUGUGUAAAUUUGUUGUGCAUGUUGAGCGUAAAUUUUCUGUAGCUUCUGUUAAAAAUAACUUAUUCUCAUGAAGCUUCUGUAGCUUCUUUUAAAAGUUGUCGUCUGUAGCUUUUGUUAACUUGUCUACUGAAACUUGGGCUACUGAAGCUUGUUAACUUGCAUAAUAUUGUGAACUUAAUUGUUGCUUGCAUAUUAAUGACAGCAAAAUCAUGAUAGGAGUAGUUUCUGUAAAAUCAUGACAUGCCAUACAAGCUUCUGUAAAAUCGUGUGGAUUUUCCUUAAAUUAAAAUUAAAAUCGUGUGGACUUGUUGCUUAGUUUUAAUUAAAAUUAGGAGUAGGAGUUGUUCUUGGAGUAGGAGUAGGAGUAGUUCUUGGAGUAUGUAGGAGUAGUUCUUGGUUAAUUAAAAUGAUCAUACAAAUGAUUCACUCCACACAAGUCUCUUCUCAAGGAGUUACAUAUACUCCACACAAGCCUCAUCUCUAGGAUUUACAUAUACUCCACACAAACAAGGAGUUACACAUACUCCACACAAAUAAUCACAAGCAUCUUAACAAGCAACUCCUCAAGCAUCUCGACAAGCAUCUCAACAAGCAACUCCUCAAGCAUCUCAACAAGCAACUCCUCAAGCAUAUCAACAAGCAUCUCUGACAAGUAUGUCAAGCCUCUUCUUCCAUCACCGAACUCUCUCCAUUAUCCCAAGAUUGUGCAGGGCAUUUGCAUAUACCUCUUCAGGGCAUGUAAGUCUUGGAGGUAGCAUCCCAAGGUUCUCUAGCCUUUCCUUGUUCGCAUGGGGUAUUUUAUACCCAUUGCCCCCUGCGUGGUUCAAGAUUUCAAUCAUGCAAGCUUGUAGAGAUAGGAAAACUCUGUUCAGCUUGUAAACUUCAUAGUUUUCAAAUUCAUCUAGCACACCCUUGAUAAGAUUCUGAAGCGUUCUAGGGCUUAGACAAUCUGUCAGAGAUUGCAACGAGUUGAAGAACCCAAGGUCAAGGCCAUUCAGAUCAGGGCUAUUGGCAGGUUGUUGAAUUAGUCUGAUGUCGAGUCCAGUUCUUUCCGCGGUUGCUACAAAUUCUGGGUCGUUGGGCAAGAUAUGGGGCUUGGCGUUGUCUUGUUGUAUAUAGAUGGUUUGCCCAGCAUCAUUCUCAGGCCAAGAUGCUUGUAUUGCUGGUAGUAGGUUAUCUAUCAUGAACUCUCUCAUUACUUGCCUGUUGACUUUUAUGGACUUCGUCUCCAUUGUUCCUCUGGGCCUGUUGUCGCUUCUCCUCUGAGCCGGAACUUCUUUCACAAACGGCCAAAUUCCAAUUUUCCCAGAAAAUGUCACAUUUCCUUCACUAUCCCACCUUGGCCUAGCAAUAGCCGUCAAGAACAUGACUUUUCCAAUACAACUGCCGUUUUGUAUAGUUCUCGUAGGCUCUUCCUCCCCAUAUAGCAGAUAAUAGUUCCUGUUUUUCUUGGUCAUAUAGAACCAUUUCUCGUCAAUAUGAAUAAUUUGUGCAUGGUCUUGAAUUUUGGCCUUUCAGUUUGUGUUGUUGUCUCAUCGAGCAUUGACAAGCAAAAUUCCAUUCUAUCCUUUUUGUUCUUUUCCUUCAAAACUGGCUUCAAACAGUUUGUAUGCCUCUUUAUCAACUUCAGCAUGAACUUCCGGUGGAGUGUCGUAGGGCUGCAACUGAGUUGCCAAGCAAGUGACCUGAUAGUAGACCGCUUGUUAAGUGGAAUGGUAGGUAUUUGAUCUAGAUUAAUGUCCUUUGGCUUUCUUCCACAGUUCUUUUUUCUCUGACUUGAAACAUCCACCUCCAGGCCUUGAGCAAUUUGCUUCAUUGCUUUCUUCCAAACUCUUUGUACAUUCCAUACACCCACUCCAAAGAAACUGGCAAUCUUUUUCUUGUCAUCUCUUUCAAAUUUGCCCCCUCUACUCAUGCACAGUGUGUGCAUUGCAACAUAAGCAGCAUACUUUUGCUUGUCAUCGAGGCUAUCCCUUUUCUUAACUGAUUGCUCAACACCUGCACGAAGAAAUACAGCAAAGGAAAAAUGAUCAAAUGAUCAAAGGAAAAAUGGUCAAAUGAACAUAAGCAUUCAAAUGAUGAUAUGAUCAUAUCAUCAAAUGAUCAAAUGAUGAUAUGAUCAUAUCAUCAAACUGUAUUCUGUAAUUUAACUGAUUUUUUCUUCCACCACUAACUGAAAAUUUCUGAAAUGCCACUGUAGCUAUACCUGCAUGUUGUACUCCCGCAUCUUCAUCCAUUUGUACUCCUACAUCUUCGUCCAUUUGUACUCCUGCAUCAUCAUCACCCAUUUCAUCUUCUGCAUCUUCUGCAGGUGGAGUGCAGUUGAGGUCUGGGACAACCAUCUUCUGCUGCUUUCAGUUCAUUCCUCUCUUUGCUACGUGGUCAUUGUUUCAGGACAGAUCGAGUUCGUUUCCAGCGACAGCAGAGAGAUGUACUCCAGCAGAGGAUCAAAUGAU